UGUGAAUCAUCUCUGAAAAUACUAAAACGUAAAAAGCAAAUUAAUAAAAACAAGAACAAAAAACAAAGACAGAAAUGGUACGACGAAAACUGUCAUACGCUCAAAAAGAAUCUAAGAAAUUUGGGGAAAUUACUGACAAAGUAUCCCAAUGAUCCCUUUUUACGCCAUAAUUUCUUCGCAAAAAGAAAAGAAUAUAAAAAGUUAAUAAAGAAAAUGAAGAGAAAGUUUCAUAAUUCAUUGCUGGAGAAAAUUCAAAAUUUAUCUGAU